AAUCAUACAUGGCGUAUGGGUAGAUCGUGAUCAACAAUGCGAUUAUCUGGGUCGAGGCUUUUUCAUUUAACUUUAGUUUUGGCUGACACAUGUGAUUGCUCCUAAUGUGGACAGCUCUGACGUAUAAUUUUUUCAGUUCGGACAGCGUACGCGAUGUUCCGGU